CGUCACCAGCCAGAUCACACAUACAUUAGGUGUUCACAACCUAAACACAACUGUGCUUUUAUUCCCGACAGGAUUUCAUCCUGAUUCUUUUCCUUGUUUUGCGAUUUUUGCUGCAACUGUAACACAUGUUAGAGCAGCCUUUUGUGGAGGGACAGCAAAAGGAUAUUGACACACCUGCACGUUUGUUUGUUUGUUUUUUCUGAAGUCACGUGAUAACGCGAGGUCGUUGCCAAGGCACAGGUGUGUGGUCUCCAGUGAUCUGAUGAUUAAAAAUCGUCUGGUGUGACUGCCAGAGGGUGAACGAGCUGGGAAACGAUGAAAACUUCAGAACAAGCUACACAAGCAACUGUAAGACGUCCUGCCUUUGUUCUCAGGGCAAAGCAAAAACUUCCCAAGAAGCCAUGCAACAAGUAAGGACAACUGAUUUACACAAUCUGAAGAUUCAUUCAUUUAAGCCUGUUGUUCUGUGUGGAUGCUGCAACCCUCCUCCACCCCAGCCACAUCCAUUCAGUUCAUCAGUAUCUAGUCCAGAUUCUUCAUAUCUCAGUCUCCUCCUCUAUGCCACCUCAUUGGUUCCUAGGCCAGCUUCUCAGAAGGCUACUCCUCAUCUGAUCCUGCAUCUCUUAACAACACCACCAGUGUCUAGACUCCAUGGGGAGUAUCCUUUUCCUGCAGUUGGCCUAACUACCCCUUCCAAUACAUCAAGUCUUCACAAUGGAGUCUAAUCGCCAAGGACUUUGCACAUUUCUCCUUCAUUAAAUUUGUAAAAUAAAUUAUUGUUAAACUCGUA